rnacentral:rRNA from 1 species
UACGAAGGGGGCUAGCGUUGCUCGGAAUCACUGGGCGUAAAGGGUGCGUAGGCGGGUCUUUAAGUCAGGGGUGAAAUCCUGGAGCUCAACUCCAGAACUGCCUUUGAUACUGAAGAUCUUGAGUUCGGGAGAGGUGAGUGGAACUGCGAGUGUAGAGGUGAAGUUCGUAGAUAUUCGCAAGAACACCAGUGGCGAAGGCGGCUCACUGGCCCGGUACUGACGCUGAGGUGCGAAAGCGUGGGGAGCAAACAGG